GGCACAGACCAAACAGCCGCUUUGAAAACACACUUAAGACAGACCACAGCCUUGCACACCGCUGGGGCCUCAGAUGAGAGGAGGUGGAGGUGAGGGCCGCCCAGCACCAAUGUCUGGUCAAACGGCAGGACUCUGGGACUAAGGCAGGUUAUUAUUAACCUCGAAGUCAGACAACCUCCAAAGAAGUCAGGACUCAAACCUGGGGCUGCCCAGCUGGAGUAGGAGUCUGGUUCCAGGUUUCCGAGCUACAAAACCAGUUGGCUUCCCUCCAGAUGUCCUCAGACACCUACUGGAGCUAUGUGGACCCUUAUUCACAUCCAGAGAGAACACUGCUUCCCAGAACCACCAAACCACAGUUCUGAGCAGCGUUCUAAGGGAUCAACCUGAACUGUGGCCAGGAAAUGCCUCCCUGCUGAUUACAGGGAAAAUGGCAGCCACUCUGAGCCUCGAGGUUUACACAGCCCACAACAUUCUCUGGAUGGGACUGUACAUGCAGCAUGGGGGACAUCUGAGUCACCAGCUACUCAUCUUGUAUAGCAAGAGAACAAGAAAAAACUGAGUAUGGUAACCAAGGAAGAAAAUCAUAAAAGUUCACACACUGAAAACAACUUUCUAAUUCUCUUACCCAUAGUUGGCCACAGUUGAGCUAAGAAUCAUCGCCAACAGUUAACUCAAAAAGGCAUGCAAGUAUGUGGUAAGAUACUAUAAUUUUGAGGUUAGAAAAUAAAUCCACGUGUUUAUAACUUAAGUAACAGUGAUUUGAAUCAAGGAGUAUUAAUGACUAUACCUUUAGAAAAAGAAUGAUUCUAACCACUUAGCCUUCAGCACCCACCCCCUAUCAAAAACAAACACAUUCUGUGAUAACAAACAUCAUAACAUGAUCUUUAUUUGUCUGCCCUGGAAAAAAACACAUCAAAUCAUGACUGGUGUUCCUGUUAUUCAUUUCUCCCCAACAAGAAAAAAAAAAAAAGUGACCUUUUGGCUGGGCACGGUGGCUAGUGCCUAUAAUCUCACCUCUUUAAAAGUAAAAAUAAAUAAAUUAAAUAAAUAAAUAAACAAAUUAGCUGGGCAUGGUGGUACACACAUGUAGUUCUAGGUACUAAGGAGGCUAAGAGAGAAGGAUUAUUUGAGCCCAAGAGUUCAAGGCUUCAGUGAGCUAUGAUUGUGCCACUGUGCUCCAGUCUGGCCAACAGAGACCUAAUUCUUAAAAAAUAAAUAAAUAAAUAGAUAAAUAGAUAGAUAGAUAUUUUUUUAAGUGAUCUCUUGACGUCUUCCUUCAUGCUUAUUUUUCACAAACCUUUCUUAGGUUCAGAACAGCUUGUUCAAUAUUAAUUUGGUAGAAUAGAGUCGACCACACUAUGAGGACUCAAUUUGAAAACAACAGUAUACUAAAAAUAUCAGUGAUUUUCAAAAAAAUUCUUUUCCAGACUAGAAAUUAUCAAUAAAUCAAAAAAUUAUGAAUUAGUAGUUUUUAGUAAAGUUGGUAUUUCACAAAUUUUUUUAAGUCAGAAAAUUCCUUAUAAACACCUGUUUCAUGUUUUCAGAAAUUUUUAAAUGAUUCCACAGUUGUUACUUGGUCAAUAAAGAAAAACUUCAUGCUUU